AUGGCGGGCGCGCUGGGCGUGAAGGCGACGCCCUUCACCUACGCGGCGCACGCGCUGGGCGCGGCAGCGGCGGCCAUGGUGCUCGUCUGGUGCAUCCACUUCCGCGGCGGCCUCGCCCUCGAGGCCGUCAACAAGAACCUCAUCUUCAACGUUCACCCCGUUCUUAUGCUGAUCGGCUUCAUUAUCCUUGGCAGUGAAGCUAUAAUGGUCUACAAGGUAUUUCCGGGACUGAGCCACGACACGGCCAAGCUGACCCACCUGAUCCUCCACGCGAUCGCCAUCGUCCUCGGCGCCGUCGGGAUCUACUGCGCCUUCAAGUUCCACAACGAGAGCGGGAUCGCUAACCUCUACAGCCUGCACUCCUGGCUCGGGAUCGGAGCCAUUUCUCUCUACGGAAUCCAGUGGAUAUUUGGGUUCGUGACGUUCUUCUUCCCCGGCGCGGCGCCGGACGUGAGGCGCGGGGCUCUGCCGUGGCACGCGCUCUUCGGGCUCUUCGUCUACGUGCUCACGCUGGCCACGGCGGAGCUCGGGUUCCUGGAGAAGAUGACGUUCCUGCAGAGCUCCGGGCUCGACAAGUACGGCCCGGAGGCGCUCCUCGUCAACUUCACGGCCCUCGUCGUCGUGCUCUUCGGUGCCGCCGUGGUCGUCGCUGCCGUCGCUCCCGCGGCUAAGGUGGAGGAGCCGGAGGGAUAUGCUCCGAUCCCAGUCAUCGGGUAG
rnacentral:rRNA from 1 species